UGUGGAGGAGGACGCCGAAGGUGGGGCUAAUGACUGGGGUGAAGUCGUAACAAGGUAGCCGUACCGGAAGGUGCGGCUGGAUCACCUCCUAACAGGGAGACAACAAAAUGUUUAAUAUUAAUUUUGUCACCUUAGGUCGAUCGGUAUCUCACAUUCUUAAUUAAUUAAGGAUUUCAUUUCCUAAGUUUUUCUAGGUCACACCCAUUACUUUUCCUGGGCCAUUAGCUCAGGUGGUUAGAGCGCACCCCUGAUAAGGGUGAGGUCCCUGGUUCAAGUCCAGGAUGGCCCAUAUCUCUAUGUUGGGGGUAUAGCUCAGUUGGUAGAGCGCCUGCUUUGCAAGCAGGAUGUCAGCGGUUCGAGUCCGCUUACCUCCACUGAUUCCACCUCUUCCAUAUUUAUAGAAAGGAAAUGUUUUGAGAUGUAACCAAAUUCUGAAAGAAUCUAGCUUCCUAAUGAAAUUAUUUAGUUAAAUCAUUAAGAUGCUGGACUCAUUGAAUAAUAUUCAAUGUUUUCAGAGAACCUUGACAACUGCAUAGAUUAUUUUUAAAGACAAUAAGCAUCUUUUAUGAUGCAGAUUUAUUAUUUGUGCGAAUGCAUUAAAUAACAAUUCUAUUAAGCUGAUGCUUCAAUUUUGAAGUUAUUGGUCAAGCUACAAAGGGCUCACGGAGGAUACCUAGGCACACAGAGGC
rnacentral:misc_RNA from 1 species